GAUGAACGCUGGCGGCGUGCCUAAUACAUGCAAGUCGAGCGAACAGACGAGGAGCUUUCUCCUCUGACGUUAUCGGCGGACGGGAGAGUAACACGUGGAUAACCUACCUAUAAGACUGGGAUAACUUCGGGAAACCGGAGCUAAUACCCGAAAAUAUAUUGAACCGCAUGGGUCAAUAGUUAAAGACGGUUUUUCUGUCACUUAAAGAUUGCUCCGCGCCUCAUUAGUUAGUUGGGAAGGUAACGGCUUAACAAGGCAACGACGGGUAGCCGCCCUGAGGGGGAGAAUGCCCACACGGGAUGUGAGAAAGGGCCGAGACUCCGACGGGAGGCCGCAGUAGGGACUCUUCCGCGAUGGAGCAAAGCCUGACGGUGCACAACCGCGUGAGUGCUGAUGGUCUUCUGAUCCUAAAACUCUGUAGUUAGUGAAGAACAAAAGUGUAAGUAACUAGGAAGAUCAUGACGGUACCGGAUCAGAAAGCCACGGCUAACUCCGUG
rnacentral:rRNA from 1 species